rnacentral:rRNA from 1 species
GUGUCAGCCGCCGCGGUAAGACGGAGGGGGCAAGCGUUGUUCGGAAUUAUUGGGCGUAAAGGGCUCGUAGGCGGACCGGUAAGUCUGAUGUGAAAUCUCCACUGCUCAACAGGGAGAGGUCAUUGGAUACUGCCGGUCUGGAGUGCGGCAGAGGACCAUGGAAUUCCAGGUGUAGCGGUGGAAUGCGUAGAUAUCUGGAAGAACACCGGUGGCGAAGGCGGUGGUCUGGGCCGUUACUGACGCUGAGGAGCGAAAGCCAGGGGAGCGAACGGGAUUAGAUACCCCGGUAGUCCUGGCCGUAAACGUUGGAUACUAGGUGUGGGGGGUAUCGACCCCCUCCGUGCCGAAGUUAACACAUUAAGUAUCCCGCCUGGGGAGUACGGCCGCAAGGUUGAA